GUUUUUGCGGGUGUCGCAAAAUGCGUGUGUGAAUGUUUUCUGAUUUUAGCAAGUUAUUGAUUUCAUGAACCUUAUUUCUAAGGCUACAUAUAUUAAGUGAAAAUGGGCUUCCAUGAAGUUGGUACAAAUUUUUUAUGCAUUCAACAAUAUUGCACAAGAUGGCAAGGAAUGGAUUACAUACAACAAACGUACGACAUGAUGGCUGUGACUGGUGUGUGGCUACUUACAAUACCUCGUGGAUUUGUUGUUCAACAGUGUCGUGGGAACACCCCUACCAGAAGGCUGAGGCAAUACAUGGCCAGGCACCAGUCCCACUUCUGAUGGAGGACAGAAGAGAUGGUUUGUCAUGGAGCCCUCUGACUAAAAGACAGGUUGAUACGGAUGUCAUAACUGGGUGAGACCUGGCGCUCGGCAUUAAAAUGAUACAAGACACAUCUA